rnacentral:rRNA from 1 species
GUGGGGAAUAUUCCGCAAUGGACGAAAGUCUGACGGAGCAACGCCGCGUGAGUGAUGAAGGUUUUCGGACUGUAAAGCUCUGUUGUUUAGGACGAAAGUGCCUGUUGCGAACAGUUACAGGUAUUGACGGUACUGAACGAGGAAGCCACGGCUAACUACGUGCCAGCAGCCGCGGUAAUACGUAGGUGGCAAGCGUUGUCCGGAAUUAUUGGGCGUAAAGAGCAUGUAGGCGGGAAUCUAAGUCUGUUGUGAAAAUGCGGGGCUCAACCCCGUAUGGCGAUGGAAACUGGAUUUCUUGAGUGCAGGAGAGGAAAGGGGAAUUCCCAGUGUAGCGGUGAAAUGCGUAGAUAUUGGGAGGAACACCAGUGGCGAAGGCGCCUUUCUGGACUGUGUCUGACGCUGAGAUGCGAAAGCCAGGGUAGCGAACGGGAUUAGAUACCCUGGUAGUCC